CUCCUCUGCCCGGACCCGAUGCACAUCUAGAACCUUCCUCUGCCCCUUUCCCCUUCAUAUCCCCGCGCUAUUGCGCUUUAAUUCGAGCCAUAAUGGCCAUGGAGUUACAGGAAACGACCGCGACCAUUAACGCCGCCUCCAGUUGCUCCACGCCCACCCCCUCGGUAUAAAACCACACCGAGAUUCCCCAUUGCAGACCACACCCCUCCACCGAUCCACGCCCCCAGGCUGCCCCUGUGGAGGGCGAAUUUCUUCGCCGGAGUUCCGACGGCCGCCGCGACGUUUCGUCGAAUUCUCCGGCCGGAGGUCACCCACGACGAACACCCGACGCCAACAUCGCUGUAGCUGUCCGUCGACCAUCUCCGGGAGAUUCGCUGGAGAGUCCGAGUACGGUAUCGUCUACAUCAUUGUUCUUCUCCGGUGACGCUGUAUCAUCGACGCCGUUCCCACUGCCGCGCACGAACUCUCCGACAGUCUCUGUCAAAAAUCCCCGUCGAUUGCACGGAGUGUAGCGAGGAAUUUUAUCAAGAAGAAGAUCCUUGUUGCUGUUGUUCUGAAGGCAAGUUACACAUGACCUUUUGUCCUACUAUUUUUGAUAUGCAUGUUUUACAAAUAUUUUCGUAGAAAUGCAUGUGUAGGGAAAUUAUGCUUUGCUAUCCUAGUAGAGAGCCAUAGGAUUUCUUGCCAUGUUCCUUGUAGCCCUUUUAUUAAAAUGCGUAUAUUGUAUGAGUGCUUAGCCAAUUGCUUGGUAGACGUGGGAUAUGGGUUUUCAAAGAACAAAACCUUUUAUGAAAAUUUACAUGCGCCCAU